CUCAAUUGGCUUUAAAAAGAUGGAGUCCUAAAGAGUUCAUCAUGUCAAACAACAUUCAUACUUACAUGUUUUGGAGGGGCAUUCUAGUAAUAUAAGAGUAAUAUCUAACACUUGCUGAGUACUUGCAAAGUGCCAGGUAGUGGUCUAAGGCUUCACUGUCCCAUAUGGCAACCACGAGCCACUGUAGCUACUGAGUAACUAGUUAUGUGUGGCUUUCAGCCUAAGACUUUCUAGAAAAGAAAACUAAUGAACUAGAAAUAACAUUAUAAAUGCAUUUUGAAGCUAGAUGGUUGUUGCAG